rnacentral:rRNA from 1 species
AGAGUUUGAUCCUGGCUCAGGACGAACGCUGGCGGCGUGCUUAACACAUGCAAGUCGAACGAAGCUUGAAUACGGAAUUCUUCGGAAUGAAGUAUGAUAUGACUUAGUGGCGGACGGGUGAGUAACGCGUGAGUAACCUGCCUUUCAGAGGGGGAUAACGUUUGGAAACGAACGCUAAUACCGCAUAAUAUAUAUUUAAGGCAUCUUAGAUAUAUCAAAGAUUUAUCGCUGAGAGAUGGACUCGCGUCUGAUUAGAUAGUUGGUGAGGUAACGGCUCACCAAGUCGACGAUCAGUAGCCGGACUGAGAGGUUGAACGGCCACAUCGGGACUGAGACACGGCCCAGACUCCUACGGGAGGCAGCAGUGGGGAAUAUUGCACAAUGGGCGCAAGCCUGAUGCAGCAACGCCGCGUGAGGGAAGACGGUCUUCGGAUUGUAAACCUUUGUCUUUGGUGAAGAAGAAAGUGACGGUAGCCAAGGAGGAAGCCACGGCUAACUACGUGCCAGCAGCCGCGGUAAUACGUAGGUGGCAAGCGUUGUCCGGAAUUACUGGGUGUAAAGGGAGCGCAGGCGGGACAGCAAGUUGGAUGUGAAAUACCGAGGCUUAACCACGGAGCUGCAUCCAAAACUGUUGUUCUUGAGUGAAGUAGAGGUAGGCGGAAUUCCGAGUGUAGCGGUGAGAUGCGUAGAGAUCGGGAGGAACACCAGUGGCGAAGGCGGCCUACUGGGCUUUAACUGACGCUGAGGCACGAAAGUGUGGGUAGCAAACAGGAUUAGAUACCCUGGUAGUCCACACUGUAAACGAUGAUUACUAGGGGUGGGGGGGUCUACCCCCCUCCGUGCCCGGAGUUAACACAAUA